UUUAGGGAGACCUACCCAACUCAUUCAUCGAGAAACACAGUGUUUGAGUAGAUGCUGAGAUGGUCAUAUCCCAGGUCGGUCGCAGAGACUUGUUGAGAGCUUUCAAACUAUGAUUUGGUUCUUUAUGGGCUAUUAGCUCAGGUGGUUAGAGCGCACCCCUGAUAAGGGUGAGGUCCCUGGUUCGAGUCCAGGAUGGCCCACCUGAAAACAAGUUAAAAAUCAGAAUUCAAAAGUCAGAAGUAACAAGUUAUUUUUGAAAUUGGAAUUUGAAAUUUCUUGUGUUGGGGGGUUUAGCUCAGUUGGUAGAGCGCCUGCUUUGCAAGCAGGAUGUCAGCGGUUCGAGUCCGCUAACCUCCACCUUGUAACUUCAGCAAUGAAAAAAGGAAAAAAAUUCAGCAACAUGGCUCUUAGCCAGACUGCUGGGUGUUUUAUCCAGCCAGAACCUUGAAAACUGCAUAGGAAAGCGAAAAAAGCAGGCAGUCAAAAAAGACUGCAUAGAGCAUGGAUAAAGCCGAAAAGUAUAGU
rnacentral:tRNA from 1 species